rnacentral:lncRNA from 1 species
GCUAGUUGACGCGCCAAGUCUAGGUCCCCAGCAGGGGUUUGACUAUAUGGAAGAUAGAUAGCUAGAUCUUUAAUUACGGGAAGGUAUUUUUGAUAGCACACAGUUACUGCCCUUUAAUCAAAUACGUCAUUUGUACUGGAGAUGUGAUAUAUCGUCUGAGCAGUUAAAACAAGUCAUGAAUAAGCAUGACUUGGAAGCUGACGUCUAAAACAGUGUGCUAAUUUAGUGUCAGAAUAUACAGGUGUUGUACCAUGCAAAUUGCCAAUGUGUGAAGUAACAGUAAAGCAGCUGCAGACGAUGAAGUUGAGAAAUGCAGAUGCAGUUUUAAUUGUUAAACAUGGUGUAUGUGGGACACAUAGUGGAUAGGAAGCAUGUCACGGUGUAUGCGGGACACAUAGUGGAUAGGAAGCAUGUCACGGUGUAUGUGGGACACAUAGUGGACAGGAAGCAUGUCACGGUGUAUGCGGGACACAUAGUGGACAGGAAGCAUGUCACGGUGUAUGCGGGACACAUAGUGGACAGGAAGCAUGUCACGGUGUAUGCGGGGAACAUAGUGGACAGGAAGCAUGUCACGGUGUAUGUGGGACACAUAGUGGACAGGAAGCAUGUCACGGUGUAUGUGGGACACAUCGUGGACAGGAAGCAUGUCACGGUGUAUGUGGGACACAUGGUGGAUAGGAAGCAUGUCACGGUGUAUGUGGGACAGAUAGUGGAUAGGAAGCAUGUGACAAUGUGAAGUAACAGUAACACAGAAUGGCUAGAGACCAUUAACUUCAGAACUGAAGAGAUGCAGGUCUUUGUUCUACAUGGUAAAUGAUGGAACCAUGGCAAAGUUUUGGAUAUAUAAGGUAUGAAGUUAUAGAAAAGCAAAAUAGCUACAGACCAUGAACUUCAGAAAUGAAGAGAUGCAUGUCUUUAUUCAGCAUGGUGUAUAUGGAAACAUUGUAGUUGGCAGAAAUGAAAUGAUUUAUGUGAAGUACCGGUAACAGUAAAGCAUAAUGGCUAAAGACUGUUAAUUCAGAAUUGAAGAGAUGCAGGUCUUUGUUCUAUAUGGUGUUUGAUGUGUGAUGGAACCAUGGAGGAAUUUUGGAUUUCUUGGCAGUCAUAGAAAUAUCUAAUAAGACUAUAGGACAGAGAUGUGUGUAUCAGUCUGUCAGGCUAUCACUUGUCCAGCUGACAAAUUUGCAAUGGAUACGUAGAUUCUCAAAUAACUUGGCAUAACUUUUCACAGUUACAAAGACAGAUUGCAAAAGAUUUUAGGUAAUUUUUCUUCGUUGGUUUAAAGUCUUUUCAGUUAACAUGGUGAGCUUUUAGGAUCAUUGGUUAUCUGUCGUCCAUCUAUCAUCCAAAAUUUCUCCAUCU